AGGCUUGUAGCUCCAGGUAGUUAGAGCGCACCCCUGAUAAGGGUGAGGUCGGUGAUUUCAAGUCCCUCAGGCCUACCA
rnacentral:tRNA from 1 species